UUGGAGCUUUCAGUGAGCACUUCCUGUCAGACUGUGUAGGGGAACAGAAGCUCCUCUUACUGGGGUCUGGGCUUGGCCACAUUGCAAAAAGUGACCAGCAGUAGAGGAACGCUUCCCCUCCUGUAAGUCACCCUGCGAUUGCGCCCCAGUCCUGUGCACCUUAGAUGGCCGCACACAAGCCCGAAGGCAAGCCAGCCUUCCAGGAAUUUCCCCAGUAUCACGAUAGGCCAGUCUGGCCCUCCUUUUUGAUUGAUGGUAUUAUAUAUUAUAUAAGCCACACAAGAAGAGGCAACAGGGCUACACUAGUCAGCACUGGUGCCUCCUAAUCGCUUACAGAGGAACUCAAGUAAACCCAAAACCCAAAGUAAAUUGAACAGAAACUACUAAAUGGAGUCAGGAUAACUCCUCACAAAUAUGCAGGGAAUCCCUCCUCCAUAAACGAGAACCUCUAAACGAAUUAAGUAUCCAUAAAUAUGGUAUAAGCCUUUGGUAUAGACGAAAAAUAAAGCAGGAUGGGACGACCGCCCACUUAAAGUUUGCGGACUCCCACUCCACCAAAAGAAGUUCCUUUAAAAUUAAAAAUUCAUAUAGGUGGUAUAAACCUUUAUUAAAGCUGAAUAUUAGGAUAUUAAAAUAUGAAGAGCCUAACUAGAACAGUAGGUUCUAUGUGAAAAACCAAAACCCAAACAAAUCUGACAUUGUGAAUAAACAGAGUGAUAAUACAUGCAGUAUGUGUAUACCUUAACUAUUUAAAAGGAGACAAUAUUUGACCUAAAGAAUUUGCAAUAUGCUGAAUAAAUGUAUAUUUACAAGAAGUCGUUUGAAUAUUGUGCCACUGAUUGUAAUGUCUGUUUCUAAAAGUGAUGACUAGACAGAAAGAUAAGAAUCCAUAACUACCCGGGAGAUUAGUGGCAUAAAAUGCUCCAUAAUUAACAAACAAAAUUUCGAUAGCCUACUCAGCAUGAUAUGUAUUCACGGUGUAAACUGUGUACAAUUAUGUUGUGUUUUAUAUGAAAACAUAUACAGGAACCUGUAAUUAGCACGUAAUUUCAUCCUAACACUUCAUGUGAUAAUUAUAUUGCAAGUGCUAAGUAAAGGCUCAAAUAUUAUUCUGGAAAAUGCAUUUUCUUACUACAAUAUUUUACGUGGUAUUUGUAGUCAAAACCAAUGGCCUGUAACUGAGCUAUGAAAUGUGGUAUAAUAAUUAAGUUUAACACAGGCUAUAGACAAGAUACAUUUUGUGGUACUGUUAGGCUGUGGGUGAUUAUCUACAGGUUUUGUUAAACAAUUUGCAAUUUCCAAAAAAGGUUAGCAGCAAUUUUGUGAAAUAGAAAGGACAAAGUUGAAUCCCAACAUUUGAAUUCUGCUAAAGUCAAGCAAUCACAGCCCAUCAUUGUAUUGCCUAAGUGAUGCACUAAAGUAACUGUAAUAAAAGUUAUACAGAUACAUAAGAAUAAAAGCCUUAAAAAACCCAAUAAAAUGUCCACAUAAAUGUGCAAACUUGCAAGAAGAACAUCCAAAUUUUGUAGGAAAGUCUCUUCUGUAUUGAGGUGCCAGAUCAGGAAAUUCUUGGGAUCCGUAUC